rnacentral:rRNA from 1 species
UACGGGGGGGGGCAAGCGUUGUUCGGAAUUACUGGGCGUAAAGGGCUCGUAGGUGGCCAACUAAGUCAGACGUGAAAUCCCUCAGCUUAACUGGGGAACUGCGUCUGAUACUGGAUGGCUUGAGUUUGGGAGAGGGAUGCGGAAUUCCAGGUGUAGCGGUGAAAUGCGUAGAUAUCUGGAGGAACACCGGUGGCGAAGGCGGCAUCCUGGACCAACACUGACGCUGAGGAGCGAAAGCCAGGGGAGCAAACGGG